rnacentral:lncRNA from 1 species
AAAGGUGCACUGACAGUGGCUAGAGACAUAAAAUCAACAGAUUGCACAACCCUUACACAGUUCACCCUGCUCUGUGCUCCCUCGACAGGCUAAUGUUGUGAAAACAGUGUUCAUCCUAUCCUACCUGACCUCGGACUCAGUGAUGUCAUCAGUACCAUCCUCCAGUUCAUCGACAGCUCUUCAGUAUUACAGAAGCUCCUAAACAAGUUUUCUCUGAGACUGUUUUAAUUACAGCCAAAGCGACUCUGAGAUCCAGCUCUGAGUUCAAGAAGAAGGGUGUGUGGACCGAGGAGUGUGGCUGGUGAUCCAACUGAAAGCUCUGCCACAC